GGAAAAGGCAGUGCCCAGGCAGCUUGUUUAUAUCACCUCCGAGAGCUGAUGGCGUGCUUAUCGCACACAGCACAAGGCUCAGUUGUCCAGACAAUCAUCUAAUUGUCUUUACUUGGUGGUGAAAGAUGAAUCCUCAUUCCUGAAAACAAAAGAGCUAAUACAAAAUGGAGGGAAGGCUGGAGAAGGCAAUGGGGAAUCAAUAGAGCUGCUGUGGGGCUGGAUGGCUUACAUGGGUCAAACCAGAGAGUUACUUAAGAAGCUGAUGUUCCUCUGCCUCCAGAAGUUGGAGAUUUGUAAAAGACCUUCGAAAGCAGAGAAGCCAUAGGCGUGGGAAUGGACAACACACCAUUAUUAUGGAAUAUGACAGUAAGUAUAUAAGUCAAAGAGCUGCAAAGAACCUUAAUUCAAAUAAGAAGCACUUUACAGUAUCUAAAUAAUGUAAGGAAAGACGCAUUUCAGUUAUUGCUGUCAUUUCUUUUUCCUGUCCCACCUCCCUGUGCUUUCC
ensembl:lncRNA